rnacentral:misc_RNA from 1 species
UUUUUUUUUUUUUUUCUUUUUCCUACACAGAAACGUUCCACACUGCAUAUUACAUCAAGAAAUGGGUGAUUUGCAUGCUUUCGACAUUGACUUGUUGCAGACCCAAACCAAGCUUCCACUAACAAAAACUAGACAAAUCCCAGUACCCAAUAGUACAUGAUUAAAGGAUUUCCACCAACAAACUGGACAACUAAAAAGAAAACAUGAAAGAUACUCAAGAAGGAGAGUAUUAUGUUACUUUUGGCCCCACCGAACACUAAGAGUUUGAAGGAUUCAAUGUGUCAAUUUGUUCCUAGGCCUUGGUGUUACCCUUAUAGGCAAGCCCCUCUUGGGCACAGGGAAAGGACCAUAUUGUAUUCCAUCCUCGUCUUCCAUAGCUUUCCAUCUGUAAGUGACAGUGAGGUGGUGAAGAAGAAUGAGCAUCUCAAGCUUGGCUAGCUCACUGCCUGGACAGGAGUGGACUCCAUUGCCAAAGGGCAUGUACGUAUUAGGUCUUGGUGGCACCUCGAAUCUUGAUGGGUCAAAUUUUUCGGGCUGAGGGAAGAAAUCUGCACAGUGAUGAAUGCUUCUAAAUAGAGGCAGAACCUUCCAGCCUCUUGGGAUAAAGUAGCCUUCAAACUCCACAUCUUCCACAGCUUCUCUGAAUGUAAAUGAUAGUAUACUUGCGAUUCUUAGAGUCUCUUGAAUCACCCUGCUGGUCAAUGGCAUGCGCCUCGUAUCAUCCCACGUAAGCCUACGAUUUGCCUCAAUUAUUUCCCGUCUAAUUCCUUCCUGUUCACUCGUAACAGCUUCUAAUAGAUCCUGAUUAUCAUGCAAGUACUUAAGGACCCAAGUUAGGACACUAGCAGUUGUAUCAUGAGCAGCGAAAAUGACGCCAAUUAUAUUAUCAGCAAUUUGAGAGUCAUUUAGCUUCUCAUCUUUAGCUCCUAAUAGAACUCCAAGAAGGCCUCCUUCUUGUUUCCCACUUUGCGUUCUCUUCUCUAUCAAUCUUCUCAAGGUCUCAUUGAGUUGUUUCCUUGCCUUCAUUGCCUUGUGGAAGGGAGUGCCUGGUAAAUCCAAAGGCAUAGAAUUAUAACCCUUUUCUAGGCAGCGAUAUAGAUGUUUGAUUCCUUCCAUUUCCAAGUGUUGGUUUUCUCCAAAGACAGAAAUCAUUGCCACAUCAAAAGCAUACCUCUUCAUUUCCUGCAAAGUGUUAAUGGUGGCAUAUUUCCAAGUGGGAAGAAAUGCCAAAACAAUCUGUUCAAUCUCUGAGACAGAACCUCUUAUUGCAGACGGAAGAAAUGAGGCCUGUACCAACUUCUUGAGCCUUGAGUGGUAAGCCCCUUGUUGAAAGAAGAGAGCUUCAGGUCCUAUCAUUUUCUCUUUACUUGUUGGAUAUGUUGGCUUGAACAAAUGUGCUCGUGUCACUAGAACAACUCUUGCUGCUUCUGGGCUUGAAAUCAUCACACAAGGGCAUCCCAAUAUGUGGGUCUUAAAUAUAUUCCCAAACCGUUUUUGCCUUUUGGAAAAGAAGGAAUUGGGGUUCUCAGUGUAGAGCUUGAGGGUCUCUCCAAUAUAAGGCCAACCCAUAGAGCCAGGAGGAAAGCGUUUGUCUUUGGAGUGGUGCCAUUGGAGAAAAAGAGGAAGAAGCAAAAGAAUCAAGAAUGACCACAACAGAACUGGUAUCAACAUCACCAUCAUCAACCUCUUGAACAAGUGCUACGACUGUAAAUGAGGAGGAAUCAAUAGAACCACGAGGUGGUGGUGGUGGGGCUUAUAUGGAGUUGGGAGGGUGAGGGAAAGAGAUGAAAUAGGUGACAGGCGUCACCACUUUUAUGGGAACAUCUUGCUCUCACCUCACCUCACCUCACCGAGUGACCUUCCCUCCUC